GCAUACUGCUUUGAACAUCGACCUCUUGAACGCAUAUUGCGGCCGCAGGAUAUCCUGUGGCCACGCCUGGCCGAGGGUCGGCUUAUAAUCUAUCACGACGCACAAUAAGUCGUGGCUUGGAUGUGUGCCAGCUGGCGUGAUUUCCCGCUUACUUAAAGUGGGGUGCCGGAUCUAUGGCUCCUUCCUAAUGUGUCCAGCUACACCCAAGUCCAAAGAUGAUAAUUGAUGGACAGGGUUGUGGUGGUGGAUAAUGCUCGGGUCGUGGCUUAAUGAGAAUGUGAUAAACGUUCACGCCUGAUGUCAUUGUCUGUCAUUUCACCCCAUAUCCGGACUGGCUCUGUAACUGAUAAUUAUAUAUAAUACCCUGACCUCGGAUCACACGUGAUUACCCGCUGAACUUAAGCAUAUCACUAAGCGGAGGAAAAGAAAC
rnacentral:rRNA from 1 species